rnacentral:rRNA from 1 species
CCUACGGGAUGCUGCAGUGGGGGAUAUUGCACAAUGGGGGGAACCCUGAUGCAGCGACGCCGCGUGGGUGAAGAAGCGCCUCGGCGCGUAAAGCCCUUUCAGCAGGGAAGAAAAUGACGAUACCUGAAGAAGAAGCCCCGGCUAAGUACGUGCCCGCAGCCGCGGUAAUACGUAGGGGGCAAGCGUUAUCCGGAUUUACUGGGUUGAAAGGGGGCGCAGACGGCGAUGCAAGCCAGGAGUGAAAGCCCGGGGCCCAACCCCGGGACUGCUCUUGGAACUGCGUGGCUGGAGUGCAGGAGGGGCAGGCGGAAUUCCUGGGGUAGCGGUGAAAUGCGUAGAUAUCAGGAGGAACACCGGUGGCGAAGGCGGCCUGCUGGACUGCAACUGACGUUGAGGCCCGAAAGCGUGGGGAGCAAACAGGAUUAGAGACCCUAGUAGUC